UGUUGGUCCUUUGUGCAUUAGAUCUGCAUUAUGCAUUAUGCUGUUCUCUAUUGAUCUCUACAGUGCUUAUUGUGGAGAUCACUUACAAAGGAAAACCAAAAGCAAAUAAGUGUAACCUUAUAUUCUUAUUGAAGGUAUGCAUAAUGUUCUGUUUGAACAUUCCCUAGCAGCAUAAUGAACGUUCGGAAAAGCAGGAAUAAAAUGCUGCUGUUUUUCACUGCACCAACGAAAUAGAGAGAAAAAAGAGGAGAAAGCUCAGCAUGUUUUGAUUCGACUAUAAUCUGCGCCCUCAAGAAAUCAGUGAACAGGAGUCAGGACUAACCUCCAGCAGCUGCAACCGAUACUGCCUCUGCCCAUUCUGGACGAUGCGAAUCAGCCGCAUGACAACAUAGAGCGGCAGCAGGAUACCAGCAGCACGAAUGAACUCACUGUCAGGAGACUGAACGCGCAGUGAUCUGCUGCUUCAACCGUCACUACUGCAACCAGAUGCCAUGCCAACAGCAUAAUGGUGAACUGCACAGGAUUGCAGAAGUCAGAAUCCAGUGGACAGACAGCAUGGAUCAGGACUCGUCCUGAACUGAAGGACGGUUAUUUCAAUUCGCUGCAUGACUUCAAACACUUUAUACCGUGAUCGCCAGCGACCGGCACCAUGUGGCGCAUUGAUCUGCGGCGUAGGAGCACCUGGUGUAAUCUGCACCGUCAAUGGAGCCCUCCGGAGAUUCCAAAGGUUGCAUGUCCUCAUGUUCACUACACGAUCAGUUGACAGAAGAGUUCCAUUUACUGACAAAAUUUAGAUGGUUGCCAAUUUGACCGGACUCGCAGUAUAGAAAGUAUACAGGCCCACUUGAAUGAAUGCAUUUUUAAUUUUAACUAGUUUAAUGGGUUUUGAAAGAAUGGAUGGUUAGUUAACAUUCUCAAAUUCAAAUUUUGGUCUGAAGUUUCUGGACGAAAUUAAAAUUCCAAGUCCUUGGUCACCACUAAUAAGUAAUAACUAGGUUUCCGUAACUGGAGCGCUUUGACAAAUGGUGAAUCUAGUGGCUGCAGUGCAUAGUUGCGUGAAGAUGCAAUGGGUUAAUGUUAUGUAUUGUGACUGAGGACACCAAGUGGCCGGAACAUUAGCUGGAGGUGCUAGGUGGAUGUGCAUUGACAGUGUCUGUGAUUUGGUUUUGGACACACGCUUUUGACAGGACCACUCUUUCUUGCCCAUGCAACAGCACAGCUCAGUCACAGGUCAUACAUACCGUUGAGUGCAGCUGUCUUUUCUGUUCAUUGUUGCAAUGAAGAGGGUAUUUCUAGUAGCUAUCACAUUGCUAGUUAAGCGCAUACCAGCAUAUUAUGCAUAUAUAAUUGCUGCAUAAGCUCUAUGAAAACCUCUAUCGCCAACUUAUAUCUUCUAUGCAAUUUUGGUGUACUCCCAAAUGUCGAUUGGUUCGUUGAGGGCGGCGAAAGCGCCAGUUUCCAAACAGCAAUUUGCUUAGAUGUGUCUUGCUAUGAGAUCGUAGAUGGUUUAUGCUCCAGACCCUGUGGUAUACCUGGAUGCAAAAGAUAUGCUUUGCCUUGGCAUGAAGUAGCUGGGUAGGACUUGGGUCUACCAGUCUGGCCAUUUUAAAUGUGUAGUGGUGACAUGCAUGGAUCAGAUCUCAUCAACCUCCGGUUGUUAGCAGCCUAAUCGCUUUUGUCGGGGUUUGAAUGACUGUAUGCUGUUCGAAAACAAUGUGCUACCUAAUGAUCUGUACGUUUCCGUUGAAGGGCGGGCAUCUCUGUUACUGCUGCUGGAGGACAUGGCAGUUAGUUGCAUGACACUAGCCAGCUAAGCUAAUGUGAUGUAGCAUAUACAUGCUCAACAUGUACUUGUUAAUUUGACAAAA